rnacentral:rRNA from 1 species
CGCCAGACUCCUCGGGAGGCAGCAGUGGGGAAUAUUGCACAAUGGGGGAAACCCUGAUGCAGCGACGCCGCGUGAGUGAAGAAGUAUUUCGGUAUGUAAAGCCCUAUCAGCAGGGAAGAAAAUGACGGUACCUGACUAAGAAGCCCCGGCUAACUACGUGCCAGCAGCCGCGGUAAUACGUAGGGGGCAAGCGUUAUCCGGAUUUACUGGGUGUAAAGGGAGCGUAGACGGCAUGGCAAGUCAGAUGUGAAAGCCCGGGGCUCAACCCCGGGACUGCAUUUGAAACUGUCAGGCUGGAGUGCAGGAGAGGUAAGUGGAAUUCCUAGUGUAGCGGUGAAAUGCGUAGAUAUUAGGAGGAACACCAGUGGCGAAGGCGGCUUACUGGACUGUAACUGACGUUGAGGCUCGAAAGCGUGGGGAGCAAACAGGAUUAGAUACCCGUGUA